UACGUAGGGUGCGAGCGUUGUCCGGAAUUAUUGGGCGUAAAGGGCUCGUAGGCGGUUUGUCGCGUCGGGAGUGAAAUCAUCUGGCUUAACUGGGUGCUUGCUUUCGAUACGGGCAGACUAGAGGUAUGCAGGGGAGAACGGAAUUCCUGGUGUAGCGGUGAAAUGCGCAGAUAUCAGGAGGAACACCGGUGGCGAAGGCGGUUCUCUGGGCAUGAUCUGACGCUGAGGAGCGAAAGCUAGGGGAGCAAACGGG
rnacentral:rRNA from 1 species